UACGUAGGCAGCGAGCGUUGUUCGGAGUUACUGGGCGUAAAGAGUGCGUAGGCGGCGUUCCAAGUUUGGUGUGAAAUCUCCCGGCUUAACUGGGAGGGUGCGCCGAAAACUGGGAUGCUAGAGUGCGGGAGAGGUAAGCGGAAUUCCUGGUGUAGCGGUGAAAUGCGUAGAUAUCGGAAGGAACACCUGUGGCGAAAGCGGCUCACUGGACCAUUACUGACGCUGAGGCACGAAAGCUAGGGGAGCAAACAGG
rnacentral:rRNA from 1 species